UUAUAUUUUUUAAAUAUUUUACAAACUUGUGCAACAAAUGUAUAUCAAUUAAAAGGAAAAAUAUCGGAAUAAAGUAGCUAAGUGGAGCUUUAUAACUUUGCUGCUUAUUGAAUUCGAAAACUCCGAUAUUUAAAAGGCCGAAUUAUGAAUGCCGGGUUCGAAUUAUAAAUACUUGUUACACGCCACGGCCUACGUAUUGUAUGUAUUAUCUGGCAAAUAGAAAUAUCUAAUAAAUAAUCUGUUGUCUGUAAAUAGGCACUACACAGAUUAAAUUUUUUAUAGUACAGCAAGGUUGUCGACAAUCGAGCUUGUGAUGCCCCACUCGUGGCACCCGUAAGAACGUGUGCCACGAGUAUUCGGUGUUCUAUAAGAAUAGAACACCGAAUAUAAUACAAUCACACAUAAUUCCAAAAACACUUGGGAGUCGAUUGGAAAGGGAUGAAAAUAAAACGAGGAGGGAUAAAAAUAAAUCUAUAUCUAUGUUUUGAACUCAGUUUGAACUCGAGCAUAAUCAACAAAUUGUUUGUAGGUAUGACAAAGAGUUUUUCUGGUUGGUCUAUUUUCGCUAUGGACCAAAAAAAAAUCGAGAUUAUUGAAAAUGGCCGUUACACAAAUGGCUCCAUUUUAAAUUUAUUAUUAUAUAUGUACGAAUGUAAGACUGCAUAGAGUAUAUUUAUAUGAACACUAUAAUAAAAAAAGACAACACAUUUA